rnacentral:rRNA from 1 species
AUGGGGUUCCCCUCAGUGUGCUACUGCGUCAUCCUGCCGCAGCCGCUCAUCCUGGUUCUGCAGCUGCUCGACUUCCUCCGCCACGCGGUCCUGCUCUGCCUCUCCUCGCUCGGCCUCGCGGCGCCGCCGGCGGCUGACGACCACCCGGCCUACGCGCCGCCGCCAGACCUCUGGGCCGUGGCGGAGUCGGCGGCGCCCUCGUCCUCUUUAUCCCUGGCGACCGGGCCGGCGCCCGCGCCGGCGGCCAUCAAGGCGCGCCUCCCCGCCGUCCGGUACGCCGAUCUCAGGAGCCGCCGCUGCGCCGCUGGGGCCGCGGCGGCGUCGACGUGCUGCGCCGUGUGCCUGGGCGCGCUCGAGGCACGGCACCGCGUCCGGGAGCUCGGCAACUGCGCGCACGCCUUCCACAAGGCCUGCAUAGACAAGUGGGUCGACAAGGGUCAGGCCACUUGCCCCCUCUGCCGCGCGCUCCUCCUCCCCACAGACGCCGACGCCGGCAAGCUGCCCACUUUUUCCUUCUGA